GUUGUAAGAUGAGUGGUGUCGGUAAUGCGCAUGUGCGACAGCCCUCAUUUGCUUGGUCUUUCACGCGCUGGUUUUGGUGGUAAGAGAUCAGCUGUAUUGGAGACAUUUCCUUAAUUAAAUCCCGCGUUCACCUUCGUCACGUCGCCAUUGCCGCCUGUGCUAAUCUGAAACGCAUGCCAGCGGUUGAAGAAUUCCGAAAUGGAUGGCCAGCAUUUUUCGAAGAAGAUGAAGUGAAUGCUGAGUUUACAAGAAUAACGAUGGUACCUCUACAAUCACUGUUCAUAUCCCAGUUGGACAAGUUUACGGGAAAACUGCUACCCAUCUUCGGUGGUAAAGGCAGGUCUAGAAGAUCAGACCAGAAGAUCAGACAAAUAAUCACACAAAUUACAAUGAGUGCUGCAGAGCCUUAGUGUGUACCUUGGUGAAGACUGCAAUACCCUCAUCAAGGACCAGCUGGAUGUCAAACGUGAAGAGACAGAACUGGCAAUUCCCCAAACAACCAUGGGGAUUUAUGUGGUAAAAAAUUAAAAUGCAGAAGCUUUGGAACAGCCUGCCAUGUUGGGAUUGUUAUUGGGGGAGUUAAGGUACUCAGAGACAUGCGAUAUAUCACCUAUCGAUUUGUUAUGUUAUGUAGGAUAAUCUAUGCACUCAACUCGAAUUAUCCCUAAGAGCUCAAAUGCACAUUUGAAGUAUUUCAGAAGAUACUCAUGAACCUAUGGGAGACAAAAUUUCUCCAAAAACUGAAAAUCAAGCUCUUUCAAUAAAGAUAUCACAGAGACAGUGAUCACGACAAAAUAUGUAUUAUAUGAAAUGUACUCCUCUAUACCUUUGUUAAAAACGACUGUUGCUUUAAAUGUUAACUGACAGUCAGUGUAUCAAACUGUUCUUUAGAUAAAAACUCGGUAGCACACUCAGAAAUGCACUCACAUGCACCCUCAGACACGCACCUGCAUGCACCCUCAGACACGCACCUGCAUGCACCCUCAGACACGUACCUGCAUGCACCCUCAGACACGUACCUGCAUGCACCCUCAGACACGUACCUGCAUGCACCCUCAGACACACACCUGCAUGCACACUCUGACACACAACACACUCAGAUACGCAGACACAUUCACAUGCACACUGAUGCAUGGAAACGUACUUGCAUGCACACUCUCAUGCACAGAAACGCUCGCACGCACAAAAUGACAAAUGUGAACACAAACGUACUUGCAUGCACACUUUGACGCACAGGCCAUUCAUUCGGGGCAUUAAGAAAGAUCCAGUGUAUCAAAUGUUUGAUUGUGAACUACUGUUAAAGUAUUGUGCAGAUGUAAAAGGGACACAAUGUUUCAGAUGUCCCUGUGAGUGCUUCCUAAUGUACUUCACACACACACAUACAAACACAUUUGCAUACACACUGAUAGACACAUAAGCACAUUCGUCUUUGCAAAACAAUAAAAUGUGUGAUUAUUAAAUACUGUUAAAAUAUUUUGCAGACGUUGAAGAGAAAUAAUAUUUGAGACGUAUGUCUUCUCAUCCAGUGUUUGUUUAAUGUCUUUAUAUUGACUUUGCAUUUGCAUUGUUUUAGGGUACUUAAAAAAUAAUAAUUAAGUUAAAACUAA